UGUCAAAUUAUUGUUAUUGUCUAUUGUAUGUAAUAGAAUUGUAUGGUGCAUAUAUCGUGACCCAUUUAAAUUCAGAGACAUCCAUAAAUCAACAAUAGUUGAAUUAUGGCUAAACUAAUUAGAUAUUUUGGAGUUUCACGAAGGCAAUUAGUAGAAUUGUACCCUAUAUCUAUUGAUUUAAUCUGCAUUGUUCCUGCAUUUUAUUAGGGGGAGGAGAGUACCAGAUCUUUUCACUUUUAAAUUGUUCGAGAAUAAUCAAAAUUACAAGGAUUUCAUGAGUGGUGACACAUAAUUUUCUCUAUUUUUGAAGUAUAUGAAAAUAGGGCUAAUACCCUAAAUGGUCACCGAACUUUGCCGAAUGUACCCAAGGGGUCACUGAACUUUAGAAAUCCCCAAGGGGUCACUGAACUUUGCCAUUUGGGAUCCCAUUCAUCACUGACUUCAUUCCGUUAGUAAAAUUUGACGAUUUUGGCCACGUGUCUAACAGAAGGGUACCAGUGCAAGUUGUCCACAAAUUCAUUGCCAAUUAAGAGAGUUGUUACUGAGGUGGAAAAAAAUUUAAGUUGUAAAGAGGAAAAACNUUUUUUUUUUUUUUUUUUUUUGCUUUCUUCCUACUAAAGCAACAUACCAGGGGAGAGGCAAGACAAGGGGAUGUACACAUUCAGGCCAUAACUCCUUACCAUUGAUGGGAUAUAUGACAUUCUCAUAUGUGCUCAUGUAGGUCUCAACCUUAUACCAGUCGGAGACAUAAUCUUUUAUCUCACGACCUAUAUCCAAAAUGCAAGCAAUGGCAUGUGGACAUGGAAUGCCAGAAAUCUACCAUCUCCUACAUGCACACGUUCUAUUAUCUAUGUCCACAACAAAUUCUCCAUACGAACACUCAACUUGAUAUUGGUUUAGCCCGUUCUAUCUCAAGAUACAUUCACGGGCUGCAUCACAGCACUUCUCCAACUUCUUUUGUAUUUUGGAACAUAUGGGUUUGUUGUAACUUCUUAACUGGUCCCUCUUCACCUGAAUUCUGUGCAUGAGUUUCAUCUGAACGCCUACCAACAUAUCUAUCAAUGAUUAUCCCUUUCUACCAAAAUAAAGUUGUUGAAGCAUUCAAGAGAUUAUUAAGGAGCAUUUCACACUUCGAUUGAUCUAAAAAAUGAGACCUACUCUAUUCGUUUGGCGACUUCUUUAUCAACCAUCCAUGUGCCUCCUUCUUCGCACUUUCAAUCUUAGCCAUCCAAUAUUUAAAAGAUGCUAAGUGACUAGAUUUUGCUGUACCCCACAAAUAGUCUUUCAAUUCCAUACCCUUAAAGUCACUCCUGAAGUAAUUCUGAUACAUAUGCCUAACACAAAAUCUAUGUUCGGCUUCCGGAAAUAAAUCAGCAAUAACAUUAAUCGAUCCCUUUUGUCUAUCACUGAUGAAGGUCACAAAUGGCCAAUUCUCCAUAGCAAGGUCUUCAGACAACAACAUCAAAAAUCACCUCCACGAACUAGUGCUCUCUCUCUCUACAAUCGCAUAUGCAAUCAGGUAAAUACAAUCAUUCGCAUCUACACCAACAGCUGCUAGCAGUUAACCACUAUAUUUUCCUCUCAAAAAACAUCCGUCAACACCAACAAAGCGUCUACACCCUUGUAAAAAAUCGUUCUUACAUGCCUCUAUACAGACAUAAAUACCCCUGAAAAUAUUAUCUACUUGAGAGAUAAGCACAGUUGAACCUACAUUUGUUCUCCUCAAUUCCGCAGCAUAGCACCCUAACAUCGCAAACUGGUUCUCAUUACUUCCCUUUACUAACAUUUUGGCGUAUUUUCUAGCAUUCAAAGCCACUCUCUUAGUGAUGUGCACUCCCAAAUCCUUUCUAACUGUAGCUCUGAUAUUUUUUGUCUUCCACUCAGGUUCGGAUCUGAAGUUAUUUAAAUAGUAGUUGGCCAACCAUUUAUAGGUUAGGUACUUAUUAGUACGUGCCUUAAAGCAAGUGUGCCUAGGGUCGUAUGUUUUGAUCUGGACCGUGUCUCGACCUUGUAUCUUCGAAGCCCACAACUUCCAUGGACAAUCAUUCUUGCAAACACAAUGCAAUCUAUUUUUCUCGUUGCGUUUGAAAGCUGGUUCAACUUGAUUGAAGACAUCAUAAUCCCUCACCACAGAUUUUAAUUCCUCAAAAUUCGCAAACAAUAACCCCACCUCAAGUUGAGGAUUCCUCUUUACACUACUAGCAAAAUAUUCUGGAAAAUUAGGUCUACCACUAUUCCCCUCUGAAUCCAAACCACUUAAGAAGUUUAACUUCUCU
rnacentral:lncRNA from 1 species